rnacentral:rRNA from 1 species
GACGAACGCUGGCGGCGUGCUUAACACAUGCAAGUCGAACGGAAAGGCCCUGCUUUUGUGGGGUGCUCGAGUGGCGAACGGGUGAGUAACACGUGAGUAACCUGCCCUUGACUUUGGGAUAACUUCAGGAAACUGGGGCUAAUACCGGAUAGGAGCUCCUGCUGCAUGGUGGGGGUUGGAAAGUUUCGGCGGUUGGGGAUGGACUCGCGGCUUAUCAGCUUGUUGGUGGGGUAGUGGCUUACCAAGGCUUUGACAGGUAGCCGGCCUGAGAGGGUGACCGGCCACAUGGGGACUGAGAUACGGCCCAGACUCCUACGGGAGGCAGCAGUGGGGAAUAUUGCACAAUGGGCGGAAGCCUGAUGCAGCAACGCCGCGUGCGGGAUGACGGCCUUCGGGUUGUAAACCGCUUUCGCCUGUGACGAAGCGUGAGUGACGGUAAUGGGUAAAGAAGCACCGGCUAACUACGUG